rnacentral:rRNA from 1 species
AGAGUUUGAUCAUGGCUCAGAUUGAACGCUGGCGGCAUGCCUUACACAUGCAAGUCGAACGGCAGCACGGGAGCAAUCCUGGUGGCGAGUGGCGAACGGGUGAGUAAUACAUCGGAACGUGCCCUGUCGUGGGGGAUAACUAGUCGAAAGAUUAGCUAAUACCGCAUACGACCUGAGGGUGAAAGCGGGGGACCGUAAGGCCUCGCGCGAUAGGAGCGGCCGAUGUCUGAUUAGCUAGUUGGUGGGGUAAAGGCCCACCAAGGCGACGAUCAGUAGCUGGUCUGAGAGGACGAUCAGCCACACUGGGACCGAGACACGGCCCAGACUCCUACGGGAGGCAGCAGUGGGGAAUUUUGGACAAUGGGGGCAACCCUGAUCCAGCAAUGCCGCGUGUGUGAAGAAGGCCUUCGGGUUGUAAAGCACUUUUGUCCGGAAAGAAAUCCCUUGCCCUAAUACGGCGGGGGGAUGACGGUACCGGAAGAAUAAGCACCGGCUAACUACGUGCCAGCAGCCGCGGUAAUACGUAGGGUGCGAGCGUUAAUCGGAAUUACUGGGCGUAAAGCGUGCGCAGGCGGUUUUGUAAGACAGGCGUGAAAUCCCCGAGCUCAAC